ensembl:lncRNA
CCAGGUUCAUCUCUCUGUAGGUGAUGGCUCUGUAGGGUGUGUUUGUGAACAGAGCCCCAGAACCAGCUUGCUUAGGGGACUCUAUUCCAGGUUCAUCUCUCUGUAGGUGAUGGCUUUGUUACGGAAGGUUUGGGAAUCGCUUCCUUUUAGGCGGUCGUACAUUUUAAAAUAUAUUUUCUGGAUUUUGAUCAUUAGCAGGUAUCGGCCUAAUUCUGCUCUGCAUGCAUUAUUUGGUGUUUUUCGUUGUACACAGAGGACAUUUUUGCAGAAUUCUGCAUGCACUCUUUCUCUCUCACUCUCUCUCUCCUUUCAAUUCAAUUCAAGGGCUUUAUAGGCAUGGGAAACAUGUGUUAACAUUGCCAAAGCAAUGUCCUUUCUUCCAAAGGCAGAAGAUGAAGACAGACAUCCUAUACACAGAAGAGGGUUCCUCCACAAUGGAACCCUGGUCCCUAUGUAGUGCACACUAUAUGAAAUAUGGUGUCACUAAAGCACUGGGGUUGCAAAGGGAGGGUAUAUUACUGGAAAAUUUACCAGUAAACUACCAGCAUUUUUGGUAACUUUCAAGGAUUUUAUGUAAUCUAUUACAAGACAUCUAGUGGCCCGUUUGGAUACUUCAGAUUAUCACAGGUGUCUGUAAUUGUGAAAUAUGACAUAAUUAAAUAAUAUUUUAAAAUAAAAAUAUAUAUAAUUACAAAGCUGUACAAUAUUAUCUUGAAUAUAAAGCAUCAACUUAGUGAAUAUCAUUGGUGUUUAAUAUGAGAGUUUCAGUAUGAAAUAUAUAUUUGUAUUUUUUACACUUAUUUAUUUUAUUUUGUCAGCAUGUAUUGUUGUCAAUGUUGUUAAGUUUAUUAAAAGCAAUUAUAUUGUCGAUGAAUUAGACCGUUUUCUCCUCAACCACAUGUUCUAUCUCCUAGAAAGUUAUGAACAAUAUCCACACAGAUAUAAAUAUUAUAUAUUAAUAAACCGUUUUAAUAUAAAGUUAAGAUUGCCGUAUAUUUUUUGGUUUAAUUAGUGAAGAUUACGCUCACUUUGUUAUUAAAUCACCAGUAACUUUGCCUCGUAGGGGACAUUCAGAGUCGGUCUGCUUGUUUAGUAAACGGACUGUCACAACGUCAUUGAUACCCAACUCACCUUCAAAGCAAAGCCUUUUUGGACUUAUGUACAUAUCUGUACAUACCAGUGCAAUGAUUAUUUUACUAAAUGAUUAUUAUUUUUUUUUGUGUCAGAAUUUUGCACUUAAAUACUAUAUUUUUUAUAAAAAGGCGAAUAUUGAGCAAUAUUAUUUUAUUAUUAUUAUUUGAACUUCU